GCUGGGCAUGGUGGCGCGUGCCUGUAAUCCCAGCUACCCAGGAGGCUGAGGCAGGAGAAUCACUUGAGCCCAGGUGGUGGAGGUUGCAGUGAGCCAAGAUCGUGCCACUGCACUCCAGCCUGGGCGACAGAGUAAGACUCUGUCUAAA
ensembl:misc_RNA Metazoa_SRP Metazoan signal recognition particle RNA